GGCCCAGAUCGUUUACCGUGAAAAAAUUAGAGUGUUCAAAGCAGGCAGAUUCAAUUUUCUGCCACCGAAUACAUUAGCAUGGGAUAAUGGAAUAGGACCCUGUCCUCCUAUUUUCAGUUGGUUUUGGCAGCGCGAGGACUAGGGUAAUGAUUAAUAGGGAUAGUUGGGGGCAUUAAUAUUUAAUUGUCAGAGGUGAAAUUCUUGGAUUUAUGAAAGAUUAACUUCUGCGAAAGCAUCUGCCAAGGAUGUUUUCAUUAAUCAAGAACGAAAGUUAGGGGAUCGAAGACGAUCAGAUACCGUCGUAGUCUUAACCAUAAACGAUGCCGACCAGCGAUUAGGAGACGUUGAAUACAAAACACCACCAUCGGCGCGGUCGCCCUUGGCGUUCGUGUUCACGCACGGGCGCGAGGGCGGCUUAGCCCGAUGGCACCGGUGAAUGACUCCCCUAGCAGCUUGUGAGA
rnacentral:rRNA from 1 species